UGGUGCUUGCCUUCUACAACAACCUCAAGUGGGACAAUGAUUGACACUAAUGAACACAAUGAGGGAAUGGAAACACAAUGAGGGAAAAUGGAAGUGACCCAAAUUGUAUUCCCCAAUUUCUUUAACUAGAGCAGCUAUAUACUUGGGAUAUCCUGAAAUUGAAUUGUGAUGCAUUUAUGAAAAUAGCUGGUUACUUUGGCGUAGUGUUUGUG
rnacentral:lncRNA from 1 species